GAUCCUGGCUCAGGACGAACGCUGGCGGCGUGCCUAACACAUGCAAGUCGAACGGAGAAUUUUAUUUCGGUAGAAUUCUUAGUGGCGAACGGGUGAGUAACGCGUAGGCAACCUGCCCUUUAGACGGGGACAACAUUUCGAAAGGAGUGCUAAUACCGGAUGUGAUCAUCGUGCCGCAUGGCAGGAUGAAGAAAGAUGGCCUCUCGAAGCAAGCUAUCGCUAAAGGAUGGG
rnacentral:rRNA from 1 species